rnacentral:rRNA from 1 species
UACGUAGGUGGCAAGCGUUGUCCGGAAUUAUUGGGCGUAAAGCGCGCGCAGGCGGUCCUUUAAGUCUGAUGUGAAAUCCCUCAGCUUAACUGGGGAACUGCGUCUGAUACUGGAAAGCUUGAGUGCAGGAGAGGAACGCGGAAUUCCAGGUGUAGCGGUGAAAUGCGUAGAUAUCUGGAGGAACACCGGUGGCGAAGGCGGCGUUCUGGACUGCAACUGACACUGAUGAACGAAAGCCAGGGGAGCAAACGGG